GAAUAUUGGACAAUGGGCGAAAGCCUGAUCCAGCCAUGCCGCGUGGGUGAAGAAGGCCUUCGGGUUGUAAAGCCCUUUUGUUGGGGAAGAAAUCCUGCUGGCUAAUACCCGGCGGGGAUGACGGUACCCAAAGAAUAAGCACCGGCUAACUUCGUG
rnacentral:rRNA from 1 species